rnacentral:piRNA from 1 species
UGAGACAAGACUAUACCUUGUUCUGUAUGC